rnacentral:tRNA from 2 species
GCCGAUGUAGCUCAGUUGGUAGAGCAACUGAUUCGUAAUCAGUAGGUCACGGGUUCGACUCCCGUCAUUGGCUCCA